AGAGUUUGAUCAUGGCUCAGGAUGAACGCUGGCGGCGUGCUUAACACAUGCAAGUCGAACGGGGUUAUUAGAAGCUUGCUUUGGAUAACUUAGUGGCGGACGGGUGAGUAACGCGUGGGUAACCUGCCUUAUACCGGGGGACAACAGUUGGAAACGACUGCUAAUACCGCAUAAGCGCACGGGAAGGCAUCUUUCUGUGUGAAAAAACUCCGGUGGUAUAAGAUGGACCCGCGUCUGAUUAGCCAGUUGGCGGUGUAACGGACCACCAAAGCGACGAUCAGUAGCCGGCCUGAGAGGGCAAACGGCCACAUUGGGACUGAGACACGGCCCAAACUCCUACGGGAGGCAGCAGUGGGGAAUAUUGCACAAUGGAGGAAACUCUGAUGCAAGCGACGCCGCGUGAGUGAAGAAGUAUUUCGGUAUGUAAAGCUCUAUCAGCAGGAAAGAAAAUGACGGUACCUGACUAAGAAGCCCCGGCUAACUACGUGCCAGCAGCAGC
rnacentral:rRNA from 1 species